rnacentral:rRNA from 1 species
GGGCCCAUGUUAACGGCAUGGGGUAUGGUAAUCAAGGGGGGAGGAUUGGAUAAUCCGCAGCCAAGUCCCUAACCGUGCGCCGCACUAUGGGAAAGGUUCACAGACUAAGUGGAAGUGGGUAGGGGGCUUAGAGCCUUCCUGCUUAAGAUAUAGUCGGGUCCUGAUGGGAAACCUCGGGUAGUAAAGUCACUGCUUUGCGUAUUCCAACCGUUCCGUAGGUGAACCUGCGGAAGGAUCAUUA